rnacentral:rRNA from 1 species
UACGAGAGGCCCAAACGUUAUUCGGAAUUACUGGGCUUAAAGAGUUCGUAGGCGGCGCGGAAAGUAGGGUGUGAAAGCCCUCGGCUCAACCGAGGAAUUGCGCUCUAAACUACCGUGCUCGAGGGACCUAGAGGUAAGCGGAACUGAUGGUGGAGCGGUGAAAUGCGUUGAUAUCAUCAGGAACACCGGAGGCGAAGGCGGCUUACUGGGGGUCUUCUGACGCUGAGGAACGAAAGCCAGGGGAGCGAACGGG